UGCAAGUCGAACGGAAAGGCCUCAGCUUGCUGGGGUACUCGAGUGGCGAACGGGUGAGUAACACGUGGGUGAUCUGCCCUGCACUUUGGGAUAAGCUUGGGAAACUGGGUCUAAUACCGAGUAUGACCACUUCUUGGAUGUUGUGGUGGAAAGCUUUUGCGGUGUGGGAUGAGCCUGCGGCCUAUCAGCUUGUUGGUGGGGUAAUGGCCUACCAAGGCGGCGACGGGUAUCCGGCCUGAGAGGGUGUACGGACACAUUGGGACUGAGAUACGGCCCAGACUCCUACGGGAGGCAGCAGUGGGGAAUAUUGCACAAUGGGCGCAAGCCUGAUGCAGCGACGCCGCGUGGGGGAUGAAGGCCUUCGGGUUGUAAACUCCUUUCGCUAUCGACGAAGCCACUUUGUGGUGACGGUAGGUAGAUAAGAAGCACCGGCUAACUACGUGCCAGCAGCCGCGGUAAUACGUAGGGUGCAAGCGUUGUCCGGAAUUACUGGGCGUAAAGAGCUCGUAGGUGGUUUGUCGCGUCGUCUGUGAAAUCCCGGGGCUUAACUUCGGGCGUGCAGGCGAUACGGGCAUAACUUGAGUGCUGUAGGGGAGACUGGAAUUCCUGGUGUAGCGGUGAAAUGCGCAGAUAUCAGGAGGAACACCGAUGGCGAAGGCAGGUCUCUGGGCAGUAACUGACGCUGAGGAGCGAAAGCAUGGGUAGCGAACAGGAUUAGAUACCCUGGUAGUCCAUGCCGUAAACGGUGGGCGCUAGGUGUAGGGGGCUUCCACGUCUUCUGUGCCGUAGCUAACGCAUUAAGCGCCCCGCCUGGGGGAGUACGGCCGCAAGGCUAAAACUCAAAGGAAUUGACGGGGGCCCGCACAAGCGGCGGAGCAUGUGGAUUAAUUCGAUGCAACGCGAAGAACCUUACCUGGGCUUGACAUGUACCGGAUCGGGCUAGAGAUAGUCUUUCCCUUGUGGUCGGUAUACAGGUGGUGCAUGGUUGUCGUCAGCUCGUGUCGUGAGAUGUUGGGUUAAGUCCCGCAACGAGCGCAACCCUUUGUCUUAUGUUGCCAGCACGUUUAUGGUGGGAACUCAUGAAAGACUGCCGGGGUUACUCG
rnacentral:rRNA from 1 species